UUAGGGGGAUAAACAAAAAGCCAUGUUGUGGUUUGUUAAUUAUAUUAACCUCUUAUUGGUAGAAGGGACAACACAGUCAUAACAUAAAGGGACCAACUUAAUACCUUAUCAUGUAAGGGUUAAACCAGUGAUUACCUGUAGCUACAGUGUCUAUUGGUAAUAUGCUAUUUUGUAUCAACUGUUCUGUCAAAAAUGUCUUUGUACAUACGCUAAUUUUUG